rnacentral:rRNA from 13 species
CGUCAGCUCGUGUCGUGAGAUGUUUGGUUAAGUCCUGAAACGGGCGCAACUCUUACUUUUAAAUUUUAACGUAUUAAAUUGAAUUUUUGAUUUAAAUGCUUUAAAAGUACGGUCAAUGAUAAGUUGAAGGAAGGUAAGAACGAAGUCAAGUCAAUGUGACCCUAAUGAAUUGGGCUACUUCAUGUGCUACAAUGAAAAUUACAAAAAGUGACAAAAAAGAAAUUUUAAGGUAAUCAACAAAAAUUUUCCCAGUUCGGAUUUUAGACUGCAACUCGUCUAAAUGAAGGUGGAAUCACUAGUAAUCGCAAAUCAGCAUGUUGCGGUGAACAUGUAACUUGACCCUGCACAUACCGCCCGUCACUUGCAAAGAAUUAGUUUCGCUUGAAGAUUCUAACAGAAUUCAUUGAGAGAUUAAUAAUUUGGAUGAAGUCGUAACAAGGUAGCUGUACGGGAACGUGCAGCUGGAAA